UCGAACAAAUUGAAUAAGCUUCAUUUUAUUAUCUUAGUGGCGGACGGGUGAGUAACGUGUGGGCACCUGCCCUGUACUGUGGAAUAAUCAUUGGAAACGAUGACUAAUACCGCAUGUGAAGGCAUCUGAAAAUUUAUUCGGUACAGGAUGGGCCCGCAUCUGAUUAGCUAGUUGGUGAGAUAACAGCCCACCAAGGCGACGAUCAGUAGCCGACCUGAGAGGGUGAUCGGCCACAUUGGGACUGAGACACGGCCCAAACUCCUACGGGAGGCAGCAGUGGGGAAUAUUGCACAAUGGGCGAAAGCCUGAUGCAGCAACGCCGCGUGAAGGAUGAAGGGUUUCGGCUCGUAAACUUCUAUCAAUAGGGAAGAAACAAAUGACGUACCUAAAAAGAAGCCCCGGCUAACUACGUGCCAGCAGCCGCGGUAAUACGUAGGGGGCAAGCGUUAUCCGGAAUUACUGGGUGUAAAGGGAGCGUAGGCGGCAUGGUAAGCCAGAUGUGAAAGCCUUGGGCUUAACCCGAGGAUGCAUUUGGAACUAUCAAGCUAGAGUACAGGAGAGGAAAGCGGAAUUCCUAGUGUAGCGGUGAAAUGCGUAGAUAUUAGGAAGAACACCAGUGGCGAAGGCGGCUUUCUGGACUGAAACUGACGCUGAGGCUCGAAAGCGUGAGGAGCAAACAGGAUUAGAUACCCUGGUAGUCCACGCCGUANACGAUGAGUGCUAGGUGUCGGGGAGGNAUCCUCGGUGCCGCA
rnacentral:rRNA from 1 species